GACGGAGGAUGCAAGUGUUAUCCGGAAUCACUGGGCGUAAAGCGUCUGUAGGUGGUCAAAUAAGUCAACUGUUAAAUCUUGAGGCUCAACCUCAAAAUCGCAGUCGAAACUAUUCGACUAGAGUAUAGUAGGGGUAAAGGGAAUUUCCAGUGGAGCGGUGAAAUGCGUAGAGAUCAGCAGGAAUACCCGUGGCGAAGGCGGCCCCCUGGGCCGAACCUGACGCUGAGGCGCGAAGGCUAGGGGAGCGAACGGG
rnacentral:rRNA from 1 species